GACGAACGCUGGCGGCGUGCUUAACACAUGCAAGUCGAACGGAAAGGCCCUGCUUUUGUGGGGUGCUCGAGUGGCGAACGGGUGAGUAACACGUGAGUAACCUGCCCUUGACUUUGGGAUAACUUCAGGAAACUGGGGCUAAUACCGGAUAGGAGCUCCUGCUGCAUGGUGGGGGUUGGAAAGUUUCGGCGGGUGGGGAUGGACUCGCGGCUUAUCAGCUUGUUGGUGGGGUAGUGGCUUACCAAGGCUUUGACGGGUAGCCGGCCUGAGAGGGUGACCGGCCACAUUGGUACUGAGAUACGGCCCAGACUCCUACGUGGGGCAGCAGUGGGGAAUAUUGCACAAUGGGCGGAAGCCUGAUGCAGCAACGCCGCGUGCGGGAUGACGGCCUUCGGGUUGUAAACCGCUUUCGCCUGUGACGAAGCGUGAGUGACGGUAAUGGGUAAAGAAGCACCGGCUAACUACGUG
rnacentral:rRNA from 1 species